GCGGGUGUAGCUCAGGGGUAGAGCACAACCUUGCCAAGGUUGGGGUCGAGGGUUCAAAUCCCUUCAUCCGCUCCA
rnacentral:tRNA from 1 species